rnacentral:rRNA from 1 species
AGAGUUUGAUCAUGGCUCAGAAUCAACGCUGGCGGCGUGCCUAACACAUGCAAGUCGAACGCGAAAGUCCCGCAAGGGAUCGGUAGAGUGGCAAACGGGUGAGUAACACGUGGGUGACCUGCCUUCGAGUGGGGGAUAACGUCCCGAAAGGGACGCUAAUACCGCAUGACAUCCUGCCUUUGAAGAGGUGGAGCUUAAAGCCGGGGAUCGCAAGACCUGGCGCUUGAAGAGGGGCCCGCGCCUGAUUAGCUAGUUGGUGAGGUAACGGCUCACCAAGGCAACGAUCAGUAUCCGGCCUGAGAGGGCGGACGGACACACUGGGACUGAGACACGGCCCAGACUCCUACGGGAGGCAGCAGUGGGGAAUUGUUCGCAAUGGGCGCAAGCCUGACGACGCAACGCCGCGUGGAGGAUGAAGACCUUCGGGUCGUAAACUCCUUUCGAUCGAGACGAACGGCCCCUGGGCUAAUCACCAGGGGAGUGACGGUACCGAGAGAAGAAGCCCCGGCUAACUCCGUGCCAGCAGCCGCGGUAAUACGGGGGGGGCAAGCGUUGUUCGGAAUUACUGGGCGUAAAGGGCUCGUAGGUGGCCAACUAAGUCAUACGUGAAAUCCCUCGGCUUAACCGGGGAACUGCGUCUGAUACUGGAUGGCUUGAGGUUGGGAGAGGGAUGCGGAAUUCCAGGUGUAGCGGUGAAAUGCGUAGAUAUCUGGAGGAACACCGGUGGCGAAGGCGGCAUCCUGGACCAAUUCUGACACUGAGGAGCGAAAGCCAGGGGAGCAAACGGGAUUAGAUACCCCUGUAGUCC